UACGUAGAGUGCAAGCGUUGUCCGGAAUUAUUGGGCGUAAAGGGUACGUAGGCGGAUAGUAAAGUCAAGCGUGAAAGGUGUCGGCUUAACCGACAGACUGCGUUUGAAACUGAUUAUCUUGAGUGUAACAGAGGAGAGUGGAAUUCCUAGUGUAGUGGUGAAAUACGUAGAUAUUAGGAAGAACACCAGUGGCGAAGGCGACUCUCUGGGUUAACACUGACGCUGAGGUACGAAAGCUGGGGGGAGCGAACGGGGAUUAGAUACCCCGGUAGU
rnacentral:rRNA from 1 species